CAGUCGCCGCGGUAAUACGGAGGGCGCGAGCGUUACCCGGAUUUACUGGGCGUAAAGGGCGUGUAGGCGGCCUGGGGCGUCCCAUGUGAAAGGCCACGGCUCAACCGUGGAGGAGCGUGGGAUACGCUCAGGCUAGAGGGCGGGAGAGGGUGGUGGAAUUCCCGGAGUAGCGGUGAAAUGCGCAGAUACCGGGAGGAACGCCGAUGGCGAAGGCAGCCACCUGGUCCACUUCUGACGCUGAGGCGCGAAAGCGUGGGGAGCAAACCGGAUUAGAUACCCCGGUAGUCCCUGUCUCUUAUAC
rnacentral:rRNA from 1 species